UGUUUUUGAGAUGAUUGCUUAGAUGAGAUUAUUUCUUGAUUCUCCUUCAUAAAAAAAAAAAUAGUUUCAUUGUUCUUUGGCUUAUCAGUUUCUAUUUUCAUGCAAUUUUAGUAUCUGUAUGGUACACAUGGACCCAACCAGGGACAGCAAUAAGCAAAACUCAUAUGUCCACUGGCCUUUUUCAGUAACUAAAACAAACAUUCCUACCACUUGUUCAGGCUGCCAAAAGCACUUCAGGGGCCUGCUCAGAUUUUACUAGGAUUCUUCAAUGUCAUCAUUCAUGUACAACAUACUGUGAUGCAGUAUCAGAACUGGCUGAUCCUGAGAUAGAUUGAGACAAGCAGCAACAGCUGGAUUUGUUCUUCCUGUUGUUUUUUUGUCAAAAAGAGUUCAAAUUACAAGUUUUCUCCUCAAAUGCUUGUCUUUUUGUGAUACAGAAAGCCCUUCCCUGAAGAUAGUGUAGUCAGAGCCAGAAGAAGGGUGUACAAUUCCAUGCUUUCCGGGUGCAUCUCCAAAACAGUGAGGUACAGUUAAUGCAACAGUCCUUGCACAUUAAUUUAGUGUAUAUCAGAGAUAAGGAUAUGGCUUUCUAAACUGUUAAUGUAAUUUUUUGUCACAUCAACUUCUAGAGAACAGGGAGAUCUCGCUAUAUAAAUCUGGCUUCUUAAAAUGACACAGGUGAACAUACUACUCUGAUUGGUGUCUGGGCAUUGCAGAUUUUAGUUAUUAUUGUUUCUGACAUUCCUAAUUACACUCCAUACUCAGAUGAGCUCAUUGGCUGAAAAUUUGGCUAAUUACACAUACCAUUCACACUUAAGUAGCCCAACAACUUCCAAACCUCACUGGAUCAAGAUGGUAUUAUAAAAGAGGCAGCAUUAACAGAAUAAGGGAUUAUCAAUCCUUUGCAAGGAUGGUUCAAGCUGGUGAUUCUGAAAGUUAGACAUUUUUAACUACUGUAUUUAACAACAAAGUGUUUCCAGAGAAUUAAGAAUUAUAAAGCCAUUAAUAUUUUCAGGCACUUACUUAUUUGAUUAUCACUUCAUUGAUAAUCAGAUAUCCAUAAAUACCUCAACUAUCAGCAGACAUUAUUCAGCAUUAGUCUACAGCAUGAUUUGGAUCUACAGCUGACAAUCAUAGCAAAGAACUAGGAAUCUACUACCACAGCAUCCUUGCUUUCUCUUUCUUAAAAAAUCAAUCAAAAUACUUUUUAUCAUCUUACUACUUACAAAAAAUCCUACCAGUUUUUUUAAUGUAUUUUCUCCAAUCAUAAAACAAACAGCUAAUCUUUUAUUCACUCACAGCAUAACAUCCUGCUCUUAGACAACAGAAGAUAAUUUCUUUCCCAUGCUGACAUGUUUGUUUGACAUUACCCAACAUGAACACAAAUUAUAAAGUAAAUGUUAUAUGGUAAAGAUAUCAAACUAGUUGCUCCUAACUUAUUUUAACUACUAAAGGCAGGAUGACUUGAGAUGUGUGCUUUCUGUGCUGAGAAAGACUACAAAGUUUGGAGUAGUUUAUGGAAGAGGUGAUUAUUUAGGGAUGAAAUUGUACAUGUGGAAAUUAAGACUCAUCCUAUUCAAUAAUCAGUGAGCUCAGCAUUGAAUGAUCUGGAGGCAACAACCCACAAGGCAUUCUAGUGUGGGAAAGAUCCAUAUCAUUUUAUGAAGAGGAGAGAAUGUAUUCUCAGACACUAAAAUUUCUUUGUCUCUUUGAAAGUUAUUACAUCCAGUUGCUUCUUUAUGGUGAGAGGAAGGCUACAGACUUAAUUUUAGCAUUCUACUUACUGUAUCAAUCAACAAACUCAGAUUAAGCGGUGAGUUUAAUAUUCUUUUCCCGCAGAUUUUAAAUCCUUUAAAAGGUAACUAAUCUUUUAUUAUCCUGCAUUUAUAAAAAAUAUUAGUACAUUUUGUGUACUUUUCUAACAUCCUGAAUUGUAAACAUUUAUAUUUACAGGUAUAUAGAAUGUAUAUAUCUGUUUAUAUUCCUAAUUUUAAUCUCUUCAUGUUGUUUACACAGAGUAUAUCCUACACCCAUA